GGGGAUGUAGCUCAGUGGUAGAGCGCAUGUAUGAGGUCCUGGGUUCAAUCCCCGGCAUCUCCA
rnacentral:tRNA from 1 species